CAACUUUAAGGGGUGUUUGGGUUAGCUUAUUUUGGAGCAGCUUAUGACUUAUAUUAACUUAUAAAAGUUAAUAAGUUGUUUUUUUGAGUGUUUGAGUUAGCUUAUUUUAAAGGAUUUUGUGUGUGUGUGUGAGAAGUCAUUUUGAGAAGGAAUGCCAAACACCCACUAACUCUUUCUAAAUAAUAAGCUCCAGAAAACUUGGCUCCGAUGCUUCAUCUCCAUCAAUCGAAACCCUAGGCUGCUGUGCAUCGUCCAAUGAAACCCUAGGUUUUUGGCGCAAACGAGAUGAAAUUCGAACUCUGCAUGCUUUGUGAUGGAUUUUACUUGUUUUCGAAGUGGAGGAGGUUUGGUGAGUCGAAUUUGAAGAAGAUGAUGAUUCAGAGAAAGUGUUAAGUGAUUUGAUGGUUUUGGUUUUUCUAGGGUUUUGGAAAACGGUUGCUGGAGGAAAACAGCCGGCGGAUUUAGGGGAAAAUCGGAAUUCUCUCAAAAUUCCCGUUGGCAGUUUUAUUUCUGCAACCUCUUGCCGUCAAGGACUUGAAAAAGAGGCGAGGCAAUGGUGAAAUGCUUCAACUAAUGGUGAGCUUCUUGGUCUCUUUUAAUUUUGGCAAUAAAAAACCUUUAACUUCUAAAUGUUGACCAAAGUUGUGACCAAAUCAAAACUAGUAGUAUCUUAUUAUAUUAGUUCUUCUGAAGUAUAUCUAAAUGACUCAACAAAGAAAUUUUUAGAUCACUAAGGUGGUUCUUGUGAACCUGAUCUUAGACUUGGGAGCAAUGACAGUUAAGGUUAUGGGUGUCAUGGAACCCAAUUAAACGGGCUACCUGUUGAGUGGUUCUAGUGACCACAAUGUUUGUUUAUGGAUGUGUUUGGGCUUUGGAUUGCCUAACAGUAAAUUUCUUGAUGCUAGACAUAUAUAUGAGGUAAUUCCUUUUUUUACUAACAUUCUUAAUGGUGUUGUUAUUUCUUGCUUAGUUGCAAUAUGCUAAAUGCUAAUCAGAGUUGUGCAUAAAAGAAUUUAAUUUAGGCCACAUGAUAAGCUGAAUAGCUUAAGAUCUUUGAAUUCAUGAAAGACGGGAAGGUGUUCUGCAGGGGACGUAACAAGUAUGGUCAGGCUAAGGAACUUGCUUGGUUGGUGGGCUAAUGAGGCUACCAUGUUUUCUUGGAUGACUAUUCUUGAACCCACAAGAGUUAAUGAAGGGCUACAUGGCUACUGAUUCUAACAUUGAAUAAUAUUAGAGGAAUGCAAGAUCCAGUUGUUGGCACAAUGUCAAGUUGUUGCAGGUGAGGUAAGUAGACAUGCUUGAUGGUUUUACAGUAGCCAAAUCUGAGAUGCUAAAGGAUGAAGUCAUAUCUGAUGGAAAUGGCAUUGAACUUGUUUGAUGACCAUGAAGAUUGUAGCAGUUCAUGAACACAAUGAAGUUUCGAGUUUUUAUUUUUAUUUUAACAUGGGUUAAUGUUGUGAUUUUAAUGUUUAAAUGUAGACUUAAUUUGACAUUUAUUAGACACUUGUUUACAAAUAUUUGAAAUAUGUACGAAGAACUAUUCAACUUUUUAA